rnacentral:rRNA from 1 species
AACGAACGCUGGCGGCAGGCUUAACACAUGCAAGUCGAACGCCCCGCAAGGGGAGUGGCAGACGGGUGAGUAACGCGUGGGAACAUACCCUUUCCUGCGGAAUAGCUCCGGGAAACUGGAAUUAAUACCGCAUACGCCCUACGGGGGAAAGAUUUAUCGGGGAAGGAUUGGCCCGCGUUGGAUUAGCUAGUUGGUGGGGUAGGCCUACCAAGGCGACGAUCCAUAGCUGGUCUGAGAGGAUGAUCAGCCACAUUGGGACUGAGACACGGCCCAAACUCCUACGGGAGGCAGCAGUGGGGAAUAUUGGACAAUGGGCGCAAGCUUGAUCCAGCCAUGCCGCGUGAGUGAUGAAGGCCUUAGGGUUGUAAAGCUCUUUCACCGAUGAAGAUAAUGACGGUAGUCGGAGAAGAAGCCCCGGCUAACUUCGUGCCAGCCGCCGCCGUAACAC